ACAGAACUUUCCAGAGAUGGAUUGGUGCCUUCGGGAACUGUGAGACAGGUGCUGCAUGGCUGUCGUCAGCUCGUGUUGUGAAAUGUUGGGUUAAGUCCCGCAACGAGCGCAACCCUUAUCCUUUGUUGCCAGCGGUCCGGCCGGGAACUCAAAGGAGACUGCCAGUGAUAAACUGGAGGAAGGUGGGGAUGACGUCAAGUCAUCAUGGCCCUUACGACCAGGGCUACACACGUGCUACAAUGGCGCAUACAAAGAGAAGCGACCUCGCGAGAGCAAGCGGACCUCAUAAAGUGCGUCGUAGUCCGGAUUGGAGUCUGCAACUCGACUCCAUGAAGUCGGAAUCGCUAGUAAUCGUGGAUCAGAAUGCCACGGUGAAUACGUUCCCGGGCCUUGUACACACCGCCCGUCACACCAUGGGAGUGGUUGCAAAAGAAGUAGG
rnacentral:rRNA from 1 species